ACGCUAAUCCUUCAGACUUCUCAGCUCUGCGGACUCCUGAGGAGCGUGGAGCUUUCUAGGAAAUGCAGUGAGGGGCGCAGAGCCUCCUGCGGCUCUUCUCUGCCCCCGAGGGUCGGCCAGAGUUGGCGUACAGGACUCGGCAGGCGGUGACUCUGGCCUCAGAAAGCCCCGCGCUCUCCCACCAGCAGCUUCGUCUCUGGGGCGGCGGGGAUCCGGGGCCAGGGAGAAGCUAGAGCAGGUGGGCCGGGCCGUAUCCGGGAACCUGUGGGUUCUCCUUUCCACGGGUUUGGACCUGCUCCCACACUCUCUACUUACUCCUCGACCUGGAGAUCUGAGGCUCCAGAUCUUUCUCUGAAAUAGAAAAGGCUUUCUUGUUUUGAUUAUGCAUGCUUAGUGUGGAAAAGAAAACAUGGAAAAUAAUAAAGGUAUGGAGAUCCACAAGGUUAGCUCCGUCGCUUUGCUCAAAUGGCUUUCCUUAACUCUGUAUAAUCAGCACCUACACACACACACCGCUCGGGCUCUGCCCAGCCUUCUUUUUCUUCCUUUUAUUCAAUACCUGACAUAUUUGUGUAAUACCGUCUCUUGACUACAAGCUCCAUGAGGUCACACUAUUUUCAUUGCCCUAAUACUCCCAGCAUCGAGAAUUGUUUCUGACACAAUAUUUGUUGAAUAACUAAAGGUUUAAAAUAUUUCUAAUAGAGCCAUUCAGAAAUAAACAUUGUUAAUAGUU